AUUGAACGCUGGCGGCAUGCAUUACACAUGCAAGUCGAACGGCAGCACGGGCUUCGGUCUGGUGGCGAGUGGCGAACGGGUGAGUAAUAUAUCGGAACGUACACAGAAGUGGGGGAUAACGUAGCGAAAGUUACGCUAAUACCGCAUACGAUCUACGGAUGAAAGUGGGGGACCUUCGGGCCUCAUGCUUUUGGAGCGGCCGAUAUCUGAUUAGCUAGUUGGUGAGGGAAAGGCUCACCAAGGGGACGAUCAGUAGCUGGUCUGAGAGGACGACCAGCCGCACUGGAACUGAGACACGGGCCAGCCUCCUACGGGAGGCAGCAGGGGGGAAAUGUGGACAAUGGGCGCAAGCCUGAUCCAGCAAUGCCGCGUGAGUGAAGAAGGCCUUCGGGUUGUAAAGCUCUUUUGUCAGGGAAGAAACGGUGAGAGCUAAUAUCCUUUGCUAAUGACGGUACCUGAAGAAUAAGCACCGGCUAACUACGUGCCAGCAGCCGCUGUAACAC
rnacentral:rRNA from 1 species